rnacentral:tRNA from 1 species
AAGAAUUUCAGUUUUGGGUAUUGAUAGCGAGGUAAAUGGACCUCUUCCCUG